rnacentral:rRNA from 1 species
AUGUCGACGGGGAUCGCCGGGGCACCGCCGCCGACGGAAAGAGAGUCCUGGUGGACAUGUUUCUCACUCAUCUCCGAGUCUCUCGGGAUGACUUCGGUCUUCGAAACAAUGAGGAAUCGUUUUGACGAUCUGCACGGGCCAUCCUUCUUCACGAGAACAAUGGCGAUUCUUGGCGAGGCUUGCAAUAUUCAUCGACCUAACGCAGGAGCAAAAGACGCAACAGACUCCCCUUUGCCACCCAGCUAUGAGGAUGAUGUGACAGCCACUACUGAUGGCAAAGAGCAAACGACGUGGCCGGCGGCUGCCGGCGACGCCGAAGACGACGACACUAAGCAACCCCUACCGCCGCCCCCGCCGCCGCCGCCUGAGAAAACCUACAGUGAAGAUGACGUGGUCGACUUUCCCGAAGUCCUGCGUUUUUGCCGGCCUGGACCCUCGGUGGAGCUCCUGGCCGUGUACCCAUACUUCCCCUUCGUCUCGUCGGCGACAUUAUCGUCUACGACUAGAACGGCGGCCAGUAUGUCUACCACCAGAAAGAAGGAGAGCCUCUUCACAACAUCGAUCCCGACGGCAAUCUGGUGCUCACGGGGCCAUUCGUGA